UGAUCAGUCAGGCUGCUGGUUAUAUUCCAGGACUUAUCUGUCCUAGGUAUAACCAAAGCCCGACUGUUAA
rfam:Rattus norvegicus chromosome 1, whole genome shotgun sequence.